UAAUCAUGCAGGAUGAUCCUUACCUGUUCCUUUUUAUGGUGGGCGGAUAGAACAAGAUGAUUGGAGUUGCAACAUCCUGAUUGCUCCUAUUUGAU
rnacentral:snoRNA from 1 species